GAUGAAGAACGUAGCGAAAUGCGAUAAGUAAUGUGAAUUGCAGAAUUCAGUGAAUCAUCGAAUCUUUGAACGCCCAUUGCGUCCCCUGGUAUUCCGGGGGGCAUGCCUGUUCGAGCGUCAUUUCACCACUCAAGCCUCGCUUGGUAUUGGGCGACGCGGUCCGCCGCGCGCCUCAAAUCGACCGGCUGGGUCUUCCGUCCCCUCAGCGUUGUGGAAACUAUUCGCUAAAGGGUGCCGCGGGAGGUCACGCCGCAAAACAACCCCAUUUCUAAGGUUGACCUCGGAUCAGGUAGGGAUACCCGCUGAACUUAAGCAUAUCAAUAAGCGGAGGA
rnacentral:misc_RNA from 1 species